rnacentral:lncRNA from 13 species
AGCUCAUCAUGCUACUCAGAACUGUGUGCAGUUCAAAACUUAGAAAUUGUUUAUUCUUGGAAUUUUCCAUUAAAUCUUUUCAAACUACAGUUGACCACUGGUGACUGAAAACUGUGUGCCCUUCCCCUACAAAGAACGCAGCAGCCAACCAUCUCAGAAUCAGAGAGCAGCCUUCACCAGACAACCAAACAUGCCGGCGCCUUGAUUUUGAACUUUCCAGCCUCCAGAACUUGUUCAUGCCAAGGGCUUGAGACAGUUAGCGUGACUCACCCCAUCUUGGCUGCUGGACCUAUCUGCUCUCCCCCAGCUCUCGAGGGCUGUUGAGUCAAGGCUUGUGAAGACAGUGAAAAGAUAGCUGUCUGAAAGCCAGAGAAACAAUCCUCAUGGGGGAAUUGAACCAUCUAACACCUUGAAUCUGGAGGAGUUCUCAUCCUCCAGAACUGUAAGAAAUAAAUUUCUGGUGCUUGGCA